rnacentral:lncRNA from 1 species
CUUGUAGAAUAGUUCCUGCUUGCUGUGGAUGUAAAAUCACACGACCGAAAGAAGCCCUCUCUACAUGUUCCAACAUAUAUAAAAAAGUAUUUCUGGAACAAAUCUUGCUGCUCUAAAAAUCUGACAUCUCUAAUCACAAUAUGUCCUUGGGUAACUUCUCAAAAGCCGAUAAGACUUAUGUGUAGAAGAUGUAGACAACAAACAUAACUCCUCUUGGGUACCUCUGCAUUAACAGAUUUAGGGUUUUUUCUGUAUCUAUUGAUUGAAAAGUGUACAGAAUAAAUACACAAGGAAACUCAAGAAAAGGAAACUAUUCUAUGGAAUCCCUUGAUUAUAGGGAUUACCUACAAUUAAGAUUAUAAUUAGCUACCAUCUUUCCUACAAUAAAUACAGAAUAAUUUACAUUUUCCCACACUCCCCCUCAAGCUGGUGAGUGGGAGUUUCCCAUUCCCAGCUUGGAUAAGAUUCUUUCAAACAUUGGUGUACUUAGCCCUUUGGUGAAGACAUCUGCCAGUUGUUCAUGAGUAGGCACAAAUGGGGUACAAAUUAAGCCACUGUCUAACUUCUCCUUGACAAAAUGUCUGUCAACUUAAACAUGCUUUGUCCGAUCAUGCUGAACUGGAUUGUGAGCUAUGUUUAUUGCAGACUUAUUGUCACAAUAGAGCUUCAUAGGUCCCUCCCAGUUGAUCCUUAGAUCUUCAAGGAUAAUUUUCAGCCAUAAUAGCUCACAUAUACCGUGUGCCAUUGCCCGAAAUUCUGCUUCAGCACUAGAUCGUGCCACCACGCUUUGCUUCUUGCUUCUCCAUGUCACAAGGUUUCCUCCUAAGAGAGUGCAAUACCCUGUUAUAGAUCUACUGUCAACUGAUGACGUAGCAUAGCUUGAAUCGGUGUAUGCCUCAAGUGUCACACAAUUAUUUCUUUCAAACAUGAUCCCUUUCCCUGGUGCUCCUUUGAGAUACUGUAAAAUCCGAUGUGCUGCUCGCAAAUGGGUUUCCUUUGGAUUAUGCAUAAAUUGGCUGACCAUGCUUACAGCAUAAGCUAUGUCAGGUCUGGUAUGAGACAAAUAUAUAAGAUUCCCCACAAGGCGUUUCCACAUUCAUGACUUGCUUCCAUUUUUCAUUAGAUAAUGCCUCAGACAAAUUAGUAGGAAUGGUAAUGGAGUUGAGAUUGACAAGAAAUGCUUUGUAUGUAGGAGAGAACUUUUGAAAGAGGUGUAGUGUGAUAAGGGAUACAAUGGUUUUUUUGUGCAUUCUCUUGUUCCUUUUCUAAAGGCAAUGGGCAGAUUUUGAUCGCCUGUUUGAGAUUCAAUUUCACUUUAUAAGGGUAUAGAAUCAGAGAUUAUUACCCCAUUUGAAGGAUCAAAAGGACUAGAAUCGGACACUUGGACUUGCUCGGGUCUAGGAAUGUUCUUCUUUUGUCUCGAGUAUACCAGGUUCUUUCUAAACCGUGUGGAUUCAGGUUCUGGAAUAGUUUCACUAACUGGAACCGUUGAGACUAUUUCUGGAUUAGAGACAGAAUCAUGGGUAGGAGUACUUGGGGGAUUAGGUUGGGAUGAUGUAGGAAUAGAUGUGGAAUGGGAUGAUGAAGGAGUAAAUGUGGAUUGAGAAUGUGAUGUAACUGUUUCUGUUUCUGGAUCAUGUUCAGGGAUAUGACUCGAGUGAGAAUGGGAUGAUGUAGGCAAAGAUGUAGAUAAGUCAUGGAAAAGAUCUUCCAAGCUUCCAUUAUCUUCCUUACAAUUAUCCCCCUGAAGAUAAGGUUGGGUGAAGUAGGGAUUGUUUUCGCUAAAGGCUACAUCCCUUGAAACAAAGAACCUUCUAGAUGGAGGGUGAUAGCAUUUUUACGCUUUCUGGGUUGAGGAAUAUCCCAAAAAAACACACUUUAGAGCCCGGGGAUCAAGUUUGUUUCUUUCUUGGCUAUGGAUGUGAACAAAUGAAAUACAUCCAAAGAUGCGCGGAACAUGAUUGUUGGAAGUGGACACAUUCGGGUAGAAGGAAGAAAUUACAUCCAUCGGACUUUUGAAUCCAAGAACUCGGGUAGGAAGUCUAUUUAUAAGGUAAGUUGCUGUGAGCACAACAUCUCCCCAAAAAUAUUUUGGAAUAAUAAUGCUCUAGUUUGAUCUAAUAAAUGCCCAUUUUCCUCUUUGACACUCCGUUCUGUUGAGGCGUUUUAACACAUGAAGAUUCUUGAAUUAUUCUCUCUUUUUGAAAAUAAGAAGUGAGAGUUUGAUUGAAAUAAUCUCGAGCAUUAUCAGAUCUUAUCCUUUGAAUUUUGACUCCAAAUUGGUUUUUUAUCAUUAAAAUGAAAUUAGGGAGAAUAGUGCUAACAUAUGAUUUAUGCUUUAACAGAAACACCCAAGUAACCCGUGUACAAUCAUCAAUGAAUGUCACGAACCAUCGUGCACCCGACACAUUACAAAAUAUUAGAUGGACCCCAUAUAUCAGUAUGAAUAAGAUAAAAAGGAUAAUUGCUUCUUUAUUACUAGGGAUGAGCAAAAGGACCGGGGAACCGGCCGGAACCGGUCCUGGAACCAGAACCGGUCUCGGAACCGGCAUCCGAUGGAACCGGUCGGGCUGGGACCUAUACUAUAAAUUUGUGAUUAUUUGGAACCGGGACCCGGAAAGAACCGGCUAUUGGAACCGGCCCAAAACCGGGAACCGGCCCGGCUAGAAAACGUUGUCACGUAAUGACGUUCACGAUCGAUCCCACCUCCUGCUUGCGAUACACACAAGAAAAAAAAACUUCUUCUUCCCAUCUAGUCUCAAAUCGCAAUCAGUCUCAUAACAAAAAAAAAAGCAAUCGUUCUUGUGAGUCACGGCCACGAUCCCAACUCCCCAAGUCACGAACCCUACUCUCUUCAACAAUCGGCAAUCAGCAUCACUUCAUCAUCAUUCAAUUCUUCAUCUCCAAGUUUCCAUCGAUUACAAGUUUCCAUCUCCAAGUUUCAAUCGAUCUUCAAUUCUUUAUCAUCAUUCAUUGAUUUUCAUCUUCAAUUGCUUCAAUGAUUCAAACUAUGGAUGUUCAUGAAGAUCAAGUAAGAGCAUAUAUUUAUAUUUCAUGUUUUAAGAUUAUAUAUUUCAAUAUUUGCUUCAAUGCUUCAAUGAUUCGCCAAAUAAUGGCAUGCAUGCAAGUUUUUUUUCUUUGCUUUUGUUGUCUCCAUUCCAAAUAUAUGCAUUGUUAUCCCUACUUAAUUAAAAGAUCUUGAUUCUUGAUCAUAGUCUCAUAGUGGAGUACUCCUUUACGGAUGAAAGGUUGUACAUAUAAUAUAUGUUUCAUGUUUUAAGCUCCAUUUAACAAUGUACUUUGUAGACAUACAUGCAAGAUUUUUGUUAGAUUAGUUUAUUGUUUUAUAGUAUGAAUGCAAUUAUGUAAGAUUGUCAAAACUACGAAUUUGUUUACUACUUUUGUUAUAUAAUUAAUGUGUAAAAUUGACAUUGUAGGAUUUGGAUGGGCUACCAAAUGUACCAUCAUCAAGAUACCAAAACUCGGAUGCUCAUGAUGCCAAUAUUAAAGAUGGUAAUCCGGCUAAUUGGAUUGGAAAAGACUUU